rnacentral:lncRNA from 1 species
CAGAAUAGUCAUGAUGUGAAGAUAUAAGAAAUAGAAUUCAUCAAAUAGAGAUCCAAUUCUGUGCUAUAUCCAAAUGUAUAAAUAAAAAACAAAACAGAAGUGUAGAUGAUCUCUUCUCAGGACUCAUUUGCAUCUGUAAAUGAAUGUGAGAGUGUGCUGGAGAGCUGGUCCAGGUGAGGACUCACCAUUGUUGGCAGGGAUUUGAGUGUAGUCAAUCAAUCAGAAAGUGACUGCCUUCCAAUAACAACAUGUCCUGGCUCUAUGAAAAAACUGAUCUGUGAAGCUGCAGAUUGAGGACUGAUUGCUUUGAGAAUACUGAACUUAACAAAUCAGGAGUGGAAAUUUUUUGGAAGCUGAGGCAUGGACUUGGAGUGGUUGAGAUAUUUAAGAUUCAUAUUUUUCAAUCUGUUGAUGAACAAGAUAUUGGAAUUCUGACUUGGUGAGGCAAGUGGGCAUCGUAUACACCUAAUCCUAUGUGGAAGAGCCUUCAUCCAGUAGCUGUUCGAAGCAGAAACAGGCACCCAUAUCUAAGCACUGAACCAUACUCCUGGUAUCCAGUUGUUGAGAAGGAGGAGGGAUGAGCAAAGGAGCCAAGAUGGUGCUGCAGAAACCCACAGAAACAGUUGACCUGACCUACUGAGAGCAUGAAGACCCUAGUCAUAAAGCUGGAGAAACAACAUUGGAUCAGACCAAGCCCUCUGAAUGUGGGUGCCAGCUAGGAGGCCAAGGCAGUCUAUGGGACCUCUAACAGUGGAGCCAGUCUUUAACCCUAGAGCAUAAAUGGACUUUGGGAGCCCAUUUCCUAUGGAGGGAUACUAUUGCAGCCCAGAUACAGCAAGGAGGGCCUAGGCCUUUCCCAAAAAGGAUAUGACAGACUUUGAAGGUCUCUGGUGGAGAGGAGUUGGGGGAUGGUUUGGGG